GUAGAACUUGGACAUGGCUGGGAGGGGACCAAUGGCCGAUGGAUUGGGUUCUUAAAAGCUAGCAGCAUCUAUGGGGCCUUCCCUAUAUAUAUUAGUAGUCAGUAAUGAUUAAAGAUUUUGCUGUGUCUCAUGUUCUUUGUUUACAGGUGGGGAGAUGAAUCAGAUCGGACAGAGUUCCUGUGAUGGAAGGUCAGGUUAAUUUUGGUGCAGUGAGAGUGAGUUUUCACUGAUGCUUUACUUCUCCAUGCACAGGUAAGGAAUUGCCAGAAACCAGCAGCUACUGAGCUGAGAUGGCGUCAAUCAUGGAGGGAGGAGAGGCUGGUGGUGCUUCCCAGCUUGGAGAAGGCUGCGUCAGGCAAGAGAAUCACCUGUUUCCUUUUCCUCCUCCAACAAUAGAAUUCCAUAACAUGGCAUCCAUAAACCGACAUCGUCUCUGUGACCGACUUCUAUCCUAUGCAUUUGAAUCCUUCCAACUUAUCACCUCUCACCUUAUCUUCUUCUCCCCUCUCUCUCUCUCUCUCUCUCUCUCUCUCUCUUUCCUCUCCUCUCCUCUCCUCUCCUAAGAACAAGAAACAUAUAAGAUAGCCGCUCUCCUCGGUACUCGGAGUGGUCCAGAGGGUGAAACAAGCUCCUCCUUUGGCCAUAUUGUGACGGCUUUCAAGUACUCCAAUAGCAUCAGUACUGUUGCUGAGAAAAAGCUGGCCUCUGAUUCAUGAAGGCCGUAUUCCUUCCAAGUCAUACCUUCUGAAACUUGUAGCAAGAAUUCCAUUGACCCAUUCUUAGCUCAUCUUUU
rnacentral:lncRNA from 1 species